CCCUACCGUUACCCUACUGAAAUCUCAUACCAACUUGUACCUAAAGCUCAAAAUACUAAGGGGGACUCGGAGUUUAUCAUCAAAACUCUGAGUAAACCGAGCUAAGCCCUAGCAAUCAAAUCAAGCGCAGAAGUAAGAGGAAGGAGAGACCGAAAACUAAGCAAAAAAGGAGAAGAGCUCACACACAGAAUUGAAAAGACACUUACUUGAGGUAAAAUUCGUCGGAGUAUCGUCGGAGUCGCAAAACUCCGGCGUCAUCCUUCACCCCUUUAUUCAACCUUUCCAAGGCAUUACAGCUCCAUGUAGUCGCCGAUUGCAUGUGUGAUUUGAUGAUUCGUUACUUAUUCAUGAUUGUUUGAGUUAAGUCUGGACUAUUGUAGAUUUGUAAGAAGCUUUGCUAUUUUUGGUUUGAGUUGGUUAUGUUUUUUGUUUUGUUGUGGGUUUUGUUUCUUUUUGUUGAAAUAGGAAAUCGGUUUGCUCGGAUCUACUGAGAUUUUGAUGAUGAACACCAUGAGGUAUUCAUCUUUGGUUCUGGAAUUUUAGGUGGUUCGUUUUUUUUGUUUAAAUUGGGCUUUGGUUUUGUUUUGUUGGAAGAAGAUGAAUGGAUUUCAGUUUGCAGGAGAAAGUUUUGUUCGGUUGAGGUGUGUAGGUAGGGAGAGAGGGAGUGAACGAAUGAGGUGAGGUUAUCUUUUUUCACUGUGUUUGUUUUUAUGCUUUUAUUCUAAGUCGUACCAAGUGGUGAGAUGGGGAUACGUGUAGGAAACUAAUGAUGCAUGUUGUUUUCUUUUAUUGCAUCGCUUUUCUCGAAAUCAUUUAUGGUAGUGGUUGGAAUAUGGACCGUUAAUGGUGAAUUAUCCAUUUUUGUUUCGUUCCCCCACGCGUCUGGUUGGUUGGUGCAAAGGAUUUGUUUGACUCCCUUCUAUAUUUGGGCCAAAUCCGGGUUUGGGUCUUCCUGGAGGGCCAACCCGGUGCAUUUUCCCCUUUUGGGUUGUAUCCACGGUAGCAUUUGGGUUGGAUCUAGUUUAGAUCCUUUAACUUCUUUUCUUUUCUUUUCUUUAGUCAUUUUCUUGUUUUAUUUGUUUAUAGAAUUAAACUAAUUAAUUAAAUUUCUGAUAAUUAUGAAAUUCUAAUUAGGUUAGUUAAGGAAUUAAUUUUGUUUUUAUUCAAUCAACAUGAUAAAAAAAUGUUAAAUUUAAUUUAUUAGUUAAAAUAGAGUUAAUUAUUUUUACCCUAGAUAAUUGUUCUCAUUAGGGUUAUUCCUCUACAAUAUCAUGCCCAUUUUUCUUAUUCAUUUAAAUAAUAUGCUUCGGUCAUGAGAUAUGCUCGCUUGUAUUCGUCUAAAAAAUUCAAUGUUGACGUUUGUGAAAACUCUAACCUUAAGGUAAACCUAUCAAAAUGUUCAAAUACGAAAUCCUUGGCCCAACACCAAGUGAUCUUUCUCAAAUCCGAUUAAAACCUUGCCAAAUUCAAAUCCAAAUCAUUUUUUAUUAAUGUACUUCUUAUAAACUUUUAAUUCUAAAUUUUAGAUGAAAAGGGGUAUAGUAAGCGUCCGCUUCACUAUCUCUCGAGUCUUCCAAUAAUUGGCGUUCGCCAUAUUGCUCGAAUUCUCGUCGUCUAAUUAAAACCCUAAACUAAAAAUUCAAAUCACUUUCCCUAAAUUAAGUAAAAUUUCUAAAGACUUUUUUAUAAUUUAAAUUUUAGAUGAAAAGGGGUAUUGUAAGCGUCCGAUUCACUAUCUCUCGAGUCUUCGAAUAAUUGGCGUUCUCCAUAUUGCUCGAAUUCUCAUCGUCUAAUUAAGACAUUAAUCGUACAAAAUUCAAAUCAUUAUCUCUAAAUCAAUAUGAACUCCUAAAGACUCUCUUUUAUAAUUUAAACUUGGAAUGAAAAGGAGUAUAAGAAGCGUCCGCUUCACUAUCUCUCAAAUAUUCGAACGAUUGGCGCUCGCCAUAUUGCUCAAAAUUUCGUCGGCCAAUUGAAAUACACUAAAUGAACUUGGAUAAAGGAAUGGGGGGUGCACACCUCAUCAUUCCUUGAAUAAGCAAGUGGGAGGCGCACGCCUCAAUACCGUGCAUAUUCGAUUUCCGCAAACAAACUUUUAACAAUAAUUUAAAUGAAAAAAGGGAAUAAAAGGCAUUCGCCUUAUUAAUCCUCGAAAGAUUGAAUAAUUGGUGUGCACCAUAUUGCUCAAUUUUUUGUCGUUCUUCUGAAACAUACCAAACACUAAACUUAAUUCCUCGCCCUUGUGCGACCAAUAACUUAAUUCUUUUCAAAAAGAACAUUGUUUAAUCCUUUUUGACGCACACAAGAAACUAGUGCUUAAGCCACCGCCGAGAGUAGACAAGCCAACAUUUAGCCUUUAGAACGUGAUCUAAACAGACGUUCAUUAAAAGACACCAAUGAACCGUAGUUCCCCGAACUACGAAUGCUCUGAUUUCCUUAUUGCACCAUAAGGAUACGUAGGCACGAGAUUACAAGAUCUUGACGAGCACACUAAUAAAAAAACCUCUAUCUUCCCCCUUCUGAGGUUUCAAUCUAUCUCUUUUCAAUAUUUUUAUCACUCGAAGAAAACAAACAACAUUCAACUAACAUUCAAAUUGCAAAUUAAACUAAAAGUUUUCCGUUGAGUACAACGAACGUGAAGGGUGCUAAUACCUUCCCAUUGCGUAAUCGACUCCUGAACCCGAAUAUGGUUGCGACGACCAUUAUUCUAUUUUCUAAAGGUUUUAUCGAUAUUUUCCUAUUCCUUCAUUGGGAUAAAUAAAGUUUGGUGGCGACUCUAUUCGAACUAAUUUUUUCCGCGACCAUCGCGAGGAAUCGUAUUUUUCGAGAAGCGACAAAUGGCGACUCUGCUGGGGAAUUUUAGCUCCAAGCUAGAGAGAGUCAAUCCUAACUUAGUUUGAUUUCUGAUGAAUGUUAAAUUACUGUUUUUCUUCAUUAUUUGCUUUUGUAUAUCUUGAUGUAUUGUUUAUGCUAUGUGACUUAUUCUGCUAUUAUAUUGGGUGAUCUAUGGUGUUUGACACACGUUGUGAGAUAAGCUCUGUACCUGAGCUUUGAGAAGAACUUAGAACCCGGAGUUGUGUAGUAUCAAACCGAUGGGUAUACACCUUGUUGGGACAAUACAAAUACUCCACCUAGAGUAGAUAUGUUCGGAAUUUCCAUCACAGUAUGGCUAGCCCAUUAUUGCGAGGGAACUUUGAACAUGAUCCGUGACUCUAGGAACCCCGCCUUAAACUGAAGUCCGUCUUCAUGAUUAACGAUUGUGUAGAAUUGAACCGAAGGGUCUACACCCUGUUCAAACAAUACGAAGAUCCCACUUAGAGUAGAUUGAUUCAAAACUUCCAUCUUGAUGUGGCUAGUCCAUUAUUACGAUGGAAUACUGAACAUAAUCCAUGACUCUAAGUUUUUGUCUUGACAACGGACGACCUUAGGAGCUAUCCUUUGUGUGUGGGGUAAAGGACAUAGAACCACCAUUUAGGGUGUACCAUGUGAUAUAUAUGAAACAUGGAGCCCUGUCAUUGCAUAAAACUCAUAUUGCAUUCAUUAUGAGCAUAACAAGAUCAUUUACACAUUUUCUAUUUUCAGGGAAUUUCAAAAUUUUCAGUUGAUUAAGCAUUCAAGAAUAGAUGGAGCCAGAAAAGAGAAAAACAUUCCAAAUCAAAGCCAAAGUACCAUGUGUGAAAGAGUUCAUUGCAUUCAGAGACGGGUUGACUAAUAUCCGUCGAGACGUGUUCCUGCUCAAAUAUGGGAAGAUUCUACACUUGUUAUAUGUACCAGUACAAAAGGAUGUUAUUACCGCACUAGCCCGGUUUUAUGAUCUACCACUCAGAAGUUUCCUCUUUAGAGAUUCCCAGUUGGCUCCAACUUUGGAGGAAUUCAGAAAAAUAUUGGACUCUCCUAAAUAGAAGAAAGGACCUUCUAGGGGACUGGGUCAAAUCUAAAAACCCAAGGAGCUGGCAGAAGUAUUGGAUAUUCCAAUUGAAGAUCUAACCCCUAACAUCAAAAUUUGGGGAAAGGUACAAGGAAUUCCUCAAGAAUACUUGGAUAAGACUGCUCAAAUCUUCGGCAAAGCCCAGAAGUGGGAAGCCUAUGACACUAUUAUGGCAUUAAUCAUUUUUGGAUUGGUGUUAUUUCCUAAUGUGGAGAAGUUGGUGGAUGUAGCAUCUAUUAGUGUGUUUUGGGCCGUUAAGGUUAAGAACGAAGAUCCGGUGCCCGCACUUCUGGCAGAUGUUUAUCACACCUUACACUUACGCUUCGAAAAGAAUGGGGGAUUGAUGUUAUGUUGCAUACCGCUCCUUUACCAUUGGUUUGUCUCUCAUGUGUUCAAAGAUGCUGAUACGGUUGAGAGGAUGGAUUGAUAUGAGUGGUCUCAAAAGCUGGUAAGACUCACAGAAAAUGCCAUUAUUUGGUACCCUCAUGGUUUGAACGUGAGAGAUGCAAUUACUAGUUGUGGAGACUUUUCGAAUGUACCAUUAAUAGGGUCAAAGGGUUGCAUUAACUAUAAUAUUGUCCUAACAGUGAGGCAAUUGGGUUAUCCUAUCACAUACAAGCCAUAUGACUAGUUGUUAGAAGGUUUUGUGUUUCAUGAUAUGGAAGACCCCGUUAUGUUGAGAAGGGUUGUCCGAGCCUGGGAAAAGUUCGUUUCAAGGGACAAGACAAAGGAAAGGGCGUUAUAGGAGAUAGAGAACCCUAUUAUCAGUAGGUCACAAAGAGAAGUCAAAAGGUCAAGCUUCCAUUCAUCCUUGAUCCUCCUACUAAACCUCCACCACCAGAACCUAUCCCUGUCUCCACUAAGGAGGUGGAAGCAUUGAAAGCUACUAUAGCAAGACUCGGGAGAGAAAAUGAAGAGUUGCAGAUCAGCCUCCAGCAAGUUUCAAAUGAAAGAAAUAAUAUGAAGUGGGAACUAGAAUAGAAAAAGGCUCAGCUAGAGGAAACUGAGGAAAAGGUCGAUAAAGAAGAGCACAAGAGAAAGAAGGUGAAAGUGGGCACAGAACAAGUUGACCUCUACUUAGAAACUAUCAAAGAACAAUUGAAACAAGUUGAGAAAGAAUGCCAAAAGAAUAAGCGAUGGUGGUUACGAGAAACAGAAGAAAAGAAAGAAGUUAGAGAGGAAUUAGAGGCUAAGAUACAUGAUCUCACUAUCUCUCUUCAUAACGCUGAAACCCACGCGGAGCACGAGCGUCGACUCAAGGAAAGAGCCCUUGAAGCUUUUCGGGUCGCACCUGGGAUUUAGGUUGAGAAAUGUCAAGAAGCAAAGGAUGCCAGAGAAUACGCUCAACAUUGGAAAGACAGACUUGAAGCCUUCCAUCAAGAUAGUGUAAUAUGGUUAAAAGAGAGAGAGCAGGUUAUCGAGGACUACGAUACAUUCAGAAAAACUAUCAACUUCUUGCAAAAGGACAAAAAUGGGUACCGUGUAAAGCUCAAUGAUUUGGUGGAAUUCUAUAAUUGGAUGGCCUGGGAUAUGCCUUGGAGAUUGAGGGAGGCAGUGGAAGGACUGGACCAAGAUGGCACACAUCCCGAUGUGGUCGGUUUUGUUAUGAUGUGUGAGGGAAUGGUGAAGAAGUUCAAGUUUGAGUUGGAAGAACUUAUAACCCAAAAAUCUGUUGUGUGAUUUUUCCAUUUUUCUUGUACUCAGUUUAUGCUUUCGCAAGAGUUUAGUAUUUGAGUUGUAUUGGUUCGGGCGGUUAUGCCUUUGUAUUCCGUACUUUGACAAAUUGAAUGAAUGAGGAUGAUCCUCACUUUUUGUUUCUUCGAAUGCUUAAUAAAACUACAACCAUUAUGAAUAAUUCCCUAGAAAUAAAAAGGAAAAACAUCUUUCUCAUUUGCAUGCAUCUACCCCCAUCACACAUUUCAUUUCAUAAAACUUACACAACCUUUUUACCCUCUAUCCAGUAACGCUGACUAAUCAACACCGAUACGAGACGCGAAAUAACUACAGGAUGACGUUGGAGCAAGUUGAGGCUAAUCAGGCCACUAUGAGGACAGACAUCACCGUUAUCCAAGAGAAGAUGGAUCAAUUACUAGAGACGAUGCUAGCAAUUGCCCAAAGAGAAAGGGUUAUGGAAGCAGAAACUGGAAUGAGGAAAAAUGACAGUCAUAUUGGCACAUCAGGACUGGUCAAUCAGGAUCAGAGCUUCACUCACGCGAAGAAGAUCUUUGUUCACAUACCAGUAGGGAACAAAGGGGAUGGAGAUCAUGUGGAGCCUUCUAAUGCAUCCGCUCAACAUGGGUCUAAAAUGGGAGGAGAUGAUCCAUACGACGCUUUUUAUGUACCAGAUCCACCAAAGCCUAAGGUUCUUCCAGAUCCCACUGCAGAAAGGCUUCACGCCUUAGAGAAGAAGAUCAAGGCUAUAGAGGGGAAUAACAUAUUUGGUUCCGCUGCCAUGAAUGUGUGAUUGGUGUCAAAUUUGGUCAUCCCGACUAAAUUUAAAACUCCUGAUUUUGAGAAAUACAAAGGCUAGACUUGUCCGAGAAGUCAUUUGGUGAUGUAUUUGAGAAAAAUGGUUGCCCAUACUGAGAACGACAAGCUGCUCAUACACUGUUUUAGGAUAGUUUAAGUGGGACAUCCUUAAGGCGGUACAUGAGUCUGGUGCAAGGGCGAAUCCAAAGUUAGGAGGACUUGGCUGAUGCUUUCCUUCGUCAAUACAAAUACAAUCUGGAUAUGGCACCCAAUCGUAUGCAGCUACAAGGGAUGGUCAUGAACGAGAAGGAAUCAUUUAAAGAAUACGCCCAAUGAUAGAGAGAGUUGGUUGCUCAAGUUGAACCUCCAUUGUCAGAGAAGGAAAUGACCAGAAUAUUCGUGGAUACGCUCAAGGACCCUUUCUUUGAUAGAUUGGUGAACAAUGUAGCGUCAAAUUUUGCUCACUUAGUGACGAUUGGAGACCGCAUAGAAAAAGGUUUAAGGGAUGGAAAAAUCCAAGGAGCUGCUGUAACCCCCAAUGCACCGAAAAAGUAUUUUGGAGGUUUCCAAAAGAAAAAAGAAGGUGAUACUAACGCUAUAUCAAGGGGUUAUAAGGGUAAGCAACAAACCUCAUACGACCAUGUCACCGCUGUGGUACCUAUACCAUACCAGGAACCAACACAACAACAACACGUUUAUCAGUAACAACCUCCACAACAACGGCAACAAUAGAAUGCCGUUCCACAAUGACAGUUCAAGCCAAGGCCACCACGAAGGCAACUUGACCCUUGACCUGUGCCUUAUUGCCAUAUAUUUCCAUACCUGCAAAAGGAGGGACUGUUGACCUUGAGAGAGUUAAAGUCAGCCACUUUCCCAUACCCUCUCGGGUAUGAUGCUAACGCCCACUGUGAGUUUCAUGUGGGAGCACUUGGCCAUACUCUAGAAAAUUGCUAUGCUUUCCAGAACCAUGUGCAAGAUUUGAAUGAGGCUAAGGAUAUCACCUUCACCCCGAGACGCCCAAAUGUAAACACCAAUCCCAUGCCGACACAUGGAGGUGCGUCAGUCAGUGCCAUUGAAGAGAUUGAUAAGGGUGAGCUAAUCAAGAAAGUGGAAGAAAUACAAACUCCUAUAGUCGUGAUAGGUACACAAUUAUUGAAGAUUGGUCAGAUCCCAAUAGACCUAGUUGGUAAAGAAAAGGUUGAAGAUUUGAAGAGUUUUAUCCAGCAAAUGUUGGAUCAAGGUGAAUAGGCACGAAGGAAAAAGAAAUAGUCGUGAUUGAUAUUCCGUACGACGCAGUCAACAUGGAAAUCCCCAUCACUUUGUUGGUGAUAGAAUUUCUGGCACCUUUCAAAUACAAAGAUGAAAAAGCAGUACCAUGGAUAUAUCAGCCCAGAGCUUUUAAGCAGGGGCAGGAAGACCAACCUUUGGUCAUCAAUGAGCCAAAUGUUACAUUGAUUGUGGGACCAGCCGGGAUGACACGUAGUGGCCGCGUAUUUGCGCCAAGAACCGUUGAUACGUCCGCCAAAGCUAAAGGGAAGGAAGUUGAUACUCAUGUACAAAUCCAUAUUCCAAAUCUUGAAUUAAAAGAGAUGCACCUAUCCCCGAAAGCUGCUGUCACCCGCGAGGAGGCUGAGGAAUUUCUGAGGAUAAUUAAGAAGAGUGACUACAAGGUAGUGGAUCAACUGAAUCAAACACCUUCGAAGAUCUCCAUGUUGUCCUUAUAACUUAGCUCAGAGGCACACCAAGAUUCAUUAAUGAAAGUGCUAAGUGCUGCCCAUAUAAUGAAGGACAUAACAGUGGGACAAUUUGAUGAUGUGAUAGCUUGUGUGAUCACUGGAAAUUUCCUAGGGUUCAAUGACGAUGAGCUGCCUGUCAAAGGGAAGAAUCAUAACAAAGCUUUGCAUAUCUCCUUGAGAUGCAUAGACACCAUAUUAUCAAGAGUUUUGGUGGAUACAGGUUCUUCGUUGAAUGUUAUGCCAAAGACUACUCUAGUGAAAUUACCGUUGGAAGGACUAAUUAAGAUUGGGGAGGUUGACUUACCAAUUAAGAUUGGCCCGACUAUAUUCACUAUUACAUUCCAAGUUAUGGACAUACACCCCAGGUAUAGUUGUUUGCUUGGAAGACCAUGGAUUCACUCUGCAGGCGCAAUAACUUCUACCUUACACCAAAAGCUAAAAUUUAUCACGAAUGACAAGAUGAUUGUGAUUGGAGGGGAAGAGGAUAUCCUGGUUAGCCACUUGACUUCUUUCAGAUAUAUCGAAGUGGACGGCGAAAUAACUGAGACUCCAUUCCAGUCCUUGGAAGUGGUGAACACAAUGACCGUCUAACAGACAUCUGAGUCACCAAAAUUAGAGUCGUCGAUGGCCCCAUGGCAAGGAGCUAACACUGCUAUAGAGAAUGGGAAUGUCGAAGGUUGGGGCAAGAUGAUAGAAGUACGCAAUAAGUGGGACAAGUUUGGUUUAGGGUAUGAACCAUCAUCAGUUAAAGCCAAUAGUCAGCAUAACACGAAGUAGAUUCCUUCUGUUGAGAAGACAUUCACCAGCGUUGGCCAUAUCUUUGGUGAUCAAGUUGCAAAGAUCAACGAAGAAGUUGACGAUGAGGUGGUAUCGAACUGGAUACGGAAGGCAGGACCAGAUGAAGAACUAAAGAACUAGAAGAUUGUGGAAAUCCCCCAAUUCUUUCAAAAGUAAUUUUAUUAUUUUAAUCAAAACCCUGUGCUCUGCCCAAGGCACAGUGGCAUGUUAUAAGGCCUCCUUAUUUUAUAGAACAUUGAUUAUCAUUAAUAAAAUGACAAUUUGCAUUCAAAUUUUUGUUCUUUUACUUUCAUUUUUUUAUCUACAAUAAAAAUGGCAUGAAUUCUUAUUCAAGCACUUUCUAAAUAAACUGCAUAAAUCAUAACAUGCAGAGACACCACCGAGACCAUUGAUAACUACACUGAUAGGGUCUGGCGUAAUUUUGACUGUAUAAUUUACCAAGCCAAAGACGAAGUGGGGGAAGAUUGUGAACUCCCUAAAGAGUUGGCUAGGUUACUCAAACAAAAGGAGAAGGUCAUUCAACCACACCAAGAGGACGUCGAAGUUAUCAACCUCGGGACGGAGGAAGACAAGAAAGAAGUAAGGAUAGGCGCCACACUUCAAGAUGUAGUGAAGGAAAGACUGAUAGAGCUCCUCCACGAGUACGCCGAUGUGUUUGCUUGGUCGUACCAAGAUAUGCCCUUAGACAUUGACAUCGUUACCCAUAAGCUUCCGCUCAAAGAAGAAUACUCUACUGUCAAACAAAAGCUAAGAAGAACUCGUCCGGAUAUAGCUCUCAAGAUUAGAGAGGAAGUGAGAAAGCAGUUUGACGUCAGUUUCCUAGAAGUCUCUAAGUACCCACAAUGGGUUGCCAACAUCGUACCGGUACCAAAGAAAGAUGGGAAAGUCCGCAUGUGCGUUGACUACAGAGACUUAAACAG
rnacentral:lncRNA from 1 species